rnacentral:rRNA from 1 species
UACGGGGGGGGCAAGCGUUGUUCGGAAUUACUGGGCGUAAAGGGCGCGUAGGCGGCCUGUUAAGUCGAACGUGAAAGCCCCGGGCUCAACCCGGGAACUGCGUCCGAUACUGGCAGGCUUGAAUCCGGGAGAGGGAUGUGGAAUUCCAGGUGUAGCGGUGAAAUGCGUAGAUAUCUGGAGGAACACCGGUGGCGAAGGCGGCAUCCUGGACCGGUAUUGACGCUGAGGCGCGAAAGCCAGGGGAGCAAACGGG